UUGAGAUAUUGUGUUGUAUGUGCCAAGUGGCAUUCUACAUUCCGCUUUCCAUUUUUGGUAAAUCUUGAUUUGAGUUAUAAUUUCUGCAAGUUAGGUGCCGUCACGACAUAUUUACGGAGGGCGAACUAGGGUCGUGACAAGUUGGUAACAGAGCUCUAGGUUCAUAGGAGUCACGAAACACAGGCCGGUUUAUUAGAGUUUCACUGAUCGGUACAACGAUAUCUGUACUUAUCUA
rnacentral:lncRNA from 1 species